rnacentral:lncRNA from 1 species
UUCUAGUUAAUUAAUUCAAAUUAUAUCCUGGCCUUUGACAUUAGCACAGUUAUUAUUUGAGCCACCACAUGUAACUAUGUUGAAAAUUGCAAGGAAACAACUUGAGCCCCAAUCUCAAUACAGCUGAUCCAGAGAGAACCAUUUCAUAAUUCCUGACGGUUCCAUUAGUCAUACUGGUUGGUUUUGAUUGAAACUCAGAAUUCUGCAAGUCAUAUUCCCACAAUAUUGUCAGUAUUCAGUUCCAUUUUAAACCUAUUAAACUUUUGUUUGAAAAGAAGAGAAAAUACAUACACUGUAACAGGCACAUAAUAAGAGCUGGGCCUUGGUUUGCAGCAAAGAGAGACCAAAGUUUCCAACAGGAUAAGGAAGAGGAUGCAACUUUUUUUCUUUUUUUCUUUUUUCUUCCUCAAAGUGAAGAUUGGGUGUAGGUCAACAAGCCUUGUGGACCAGCUUUUAGGGUUCCCAAUGGAGAAAGACACAACAAAAAUACACACACUAACUUUGUACCCCUGAUGCUGCUGCUCCAAUCCAAGAGCAAGAGAACUAGAGAAGGCUUGUUCCCAAUUGAUUGCUCUCCAUGUCUGUCUCUGGCUCUCUCUUUCUCUUUUAUCUCCUAUGCAAUGCAGGGCUUGAGGGACACAAAUGAAGGACUUGCAGGCUGAUCCAGUAGCAAAAAACCAAAAGGGCACAUGGAAUGCUGCCUGUUCUCAGAAGUAUUAACCACAUUUCACAGACUGACUUGGGCAGGGGGCAAGGGUGGUAAACGGACAGUGCAAGUGUGAAUGGGG